rnacentral:rRNA from 1 species
UGUUGAAGAAGGCCUUUGGGUUGUAAAGCACUUUAAGCGAGGAGGAGGCUACUUGGAUUAAUACUCUAGGAUAGUGGACGUACUCGCAGAAUAAGCACCGGCUAACUCUGUGCCAGCAGCCGCGGUAAUACAGAGGGUGCGAGCGUUAAUCGGAUUUACUGGGCGUAAAGCGUGCGUAGGCGGCUUUUUAAGUCGGAUGUGAAAUCCCUGAGCUUAACUUAGGAAUUGCAUUCGAUACUGGGAAGCUAGAGUAUGGGAGAGGAUGGUAGAAUUCCAGGUGUAGCGGUGAAAUGCGUAGAGAUCUGGAGGAAUACCGAUGGCGAAGGCAGCCAUCUGGCCUAAUACUGACGCUGAGGUACGAAAGCAUGGGGAGCAAACAGGAUUAGAUACCCUGGUAGUCCAUGCCGUAAACGAUGUCUACUAGCCGUUGGGGCCUUUGAGGCUUUAGUGGCGCAGCUAACGCGAUAAGUAGACCGCCUGGGGAGUACGGUCGCAAGACUAAAACUCAAAUGAAUUGACGGGGGCCCGCACAAGCGGUGGAGCAUGUGGUUUAAUUCGAUGCAACGCGAAGAACCUUACCUGGUCUUGACAUAGUAAGAACUUUCCAGAGAUGGAUUGGUGCCUUCGGGAACUUACAUACAGGUGCUGCAUGGCUGUCGUCAGCUCGUGUCGUGAGAUGUUGGGUUAAGUCCCGCAACGAGCGCAACCCUUUUCCUUAUUUGCCAGCGGGUUAAGCCGGGAACUUUAAGGAUACUGCCAGUGACAAACUGGAGGAAGGCGGGGACGACGUCAAGUCAUCAUGGCCCUUACGACCAGGGCUACACACGUGCUACAAUGGUCGGUACAAAGGGUUGCUACCUAGCGAUAGGAUGCUAAUCUCAAAAAGCCGAUCGUAGUCCGGAUUGGAGUCUGCAACUCGACUCCAUGAAGUCGGAAUCGCUAGUAAUCGCGGAUCAGAAUGCCGCGGUGAAUACGUUCCCGGGCCUUGUACACACCGCCCGUCACACCAUGGGAAUUUGUUGCACCAGAAGUAGGUAGUCUAACCGCAAGGAGGACGCUACCACGGUGACCCA